rnacentral:tRNA from 1 species
GGGGUUGUGGCUCAGUGGUAGAGCAUGCCUUGCAUGUGUGAGGCCCUGAGUUCGAGCCUUAGCACCACA